rnacentral:rRNA from 1 species
CAGUCGCCGCGGUAAUACGGAGGGGGCUAGCGUUGCUCGGAAUGACUGGGCGUAAAGGGCGCGUAGGCGGCGGCCAAAGUCAGGCGUGAAAUUCCCGGGCUCAACCUGGGGGCUGCGUUUGAUACUUGGUUGCUUGAGUGGGGAAGAGGGUCGUGGAAUUCCCAGUGUAGAGGUGAAAUUCGUAGAUAUUGGGAAGAACACCAGUGGUGAAGGCGGCUCACUGGACCGACACUGACGCUGAGGCGCGAAAGCGUGAGGAGCAAACAGGAUUAGAUACCCGCGUAGUCCCUGUCUCUUAUAA